rnacentral:lncRNA from 1 species
UUUAUUUAUAUAACGUUCUUGAAACCAUAAAAUUAGUGUGAGAGAGUAUAGUUUAGUGAUUGGCAGGGGUUAGGGCCAGGGGGUGGAGGAUGGAAGGAGAGGGAAAUAGAUUAUGUUACAAAAAGGCAACAUAAGAGAUGGUGAUUGAUAUACAAACCUCCACAUGUGAUAAAAUGGCAUAGAAUUAAAUACACGUGCACGUGCACACACACACACACACACACACACACAGAGUAAAUGUAAGACAGGAGGGAAAUCUGAUCAAGAUCUAUGGAUUGUACCAUCAAUUUCCUAGUUGUAAUAUUGCACAUACUAGAGUUUUGUAAGAUGUUACCAUUGGAAGGAAACUGUGGAUAAAAGACACAUUGUAUCUCUCUGUAUUAUUUCUUACAACCCGAUGUGAAUCUAUAAUUACCUCUAUUUAAUUAAAUUGUAAAAAGUUAAAUGGAAUCUAACUAAUAUUCUCAUGAUAUAGUUGUUAACCCUGUACAGAAAAAGAACCCAAGUAUGAAGCCAAAGAAAGAGCAGUGGUGAAGCCUGAAAAAAGCUCAAAGCGCGGGACAAAGGCAGAGCUGGAGCUGUUCCUGCACCUGUGGGUGUAUGGGGAGCAGGGGAGAGAAGGUAUCAGCACAGGUCAUUUUUAGGGUGCCAGGGCAGGGUUGAGGAGGGAGUUCUUAGCAGUAGAAACCCACUGUGUGCUAACAGCAGUGAGGAGAGUCCUAGCAGCAAGGGUGGGAACAGAUAGGCAGCUUCCAAUGGGUGCCCAAGGUCCAAGCAUGAGUUUUUUUUUAACUCUAGAAACCCAAACAUACACUAUUUGAUAAAACUAAAAUUACUUUAGCUGCUGGAAGCAAAUCUGUGUUUUUUGUGAUCGAUUCAAACCACAGAUAGAGCAGGGGAUUGUCUUUCGGUAGGUGUGAAUGGGGCUGUAUUAGUCACCAGAGUUUCAAGUGUGCUUCUGUUUAGUUAUCAAACUGCAAUUCCAUUGAUACCCCGUCUUGAGUGUCUCCUCUGUGAGUAACAUGAAAAGGACCUCUGGUUAAAUAGAAAACUUGUCUUGAAUUUGGAAUUACAACAUGCCCUUACUUAUUCAGGACUCAAUUAACUGAGCUUCAGGAUAAUCCAAGGUGAAGAAAAACAAGAGCUGACAAAGAAAAGAAAUGGUGCUGCUGGGUUAGGGUCUCCCCAACUGAGCUGGUCUCAGCAAGUGGCGUCCAUUCGUGGGAGCUUGAAUCCAGGUCGAAGGGUCACCGGAGCAAUGGUUGGAAUGGAAAACUAGCUGGAGGACACCCGAGUACUCUAAAAGCAAUCCCCAUGGCCAAAAUCAACAGCCAAUUUGGAUACCAUCAAGACACCUGAAACCUUAUCAUGAGCCAGAUGCCAAGGAAGAGAUUCGGGAGGAUCCUGAGGACCCCCCGGUUGCAGCCAUGUUGAGACUGAUGCUGAGGAGGACCCCAACUGUCACGAGCAACACCCGUCGACCACAGCCACCCACCUGGGGACAGAUCAAGAAGCUGUCACAGAUGGCGGAGGAAAGCGGAACAACCAGUCACAAUGAAUAAUUUAAUGGUAGCUAUGAUAGUGGUUAUCACCACUGCCUCUGCAGAUAUGGAUCCUGACUCCUGCAAGAAAUAGCUCACCGUGACAAAGCUGCCCUUGCUUUUAUCGAUUUGCAAAUCAAAGAAGGGGGACAUGUUGGGAGCAGGCCCCCCCCCCCAAAAUCUGGCCAUAAUCUCUGCAGCACUAUGACAUGUUCAUGACGGCCAUAAUGCCCACACUGGAAGAUUGUGGGUUUAUGGGAAUGAGGGCAAGGAACACCUGGCCCACCCAGGGCGGAAAACUGCUUAAAGGCAUUCUUAAGCCACA